CAGACAGCUCUGGCUGAUGAAGAGAGGGUGACCAUGGAUUGGACAGGCCACAUCUUUUAUAACUAUUACCUGAAAGAAGCCACUGGUUCAAAAAAAAAUCUAAAAAGUACCUGCCUCACUCCAGCCUUCUCUCUUUAUGCAUAACAGUUAUUGAGACACCCAGUCAUGAGUGCCAUGUUUCUUUCAGCAUUAAUUCCAGAGCACACCCCUGCUUCCUGAAGCAUCUACUGGAUACCAUAGCAAGUUCUUUCUAGUUUCAGGGAUCAAACUCAUGACACCAGUCUUGCACUACAAGAAGCUUUGUCCACUCUACCAUCUUAAAAUAACAGUAAAUUAAAAUAGAAAUAUCUUUGGACAAUAUAAUAAAGCACUUAACACAAUACUUGUAUGAAACAAGGCUUGCAGAUCAAUAUAAGAUAAGAUAGACUAGACUUCCCUCAAUUUCCCAAACUUCAGAACUCCAAAGCCCCUGCUGAAACACGGGGGAACCAUUAAGCAGAGAGUAGUGGCAAGACAUCUGGAAGCCCUCAAAACUACGGUGGUGACUGGAAACAAGCCACAGCUGUCAUACCCAAGAACAGAUGACAGUGACAUAAUAAUGAAUGCAUGUCGUCUAGGUGGGAUUCUGGGACAGCAAGAGGACAUUGGGGGCUCAGAGUGUAGUGCUGCUAUUUUGUGCUUAUCUGGCAUGUGCAAGCUCUGGGGUCCAGUCCUCGGCACUGAUAGGGGGUGCGAUAUUAGGUAUUAAGUAAGGAAAUUUGAGAGACUUAAAUUAGUUGAUAAUAAUUUAGUAAUAAAUUAGUUAAUAAUAAUGGAGUAAUACUGAUUCAUUGAUUCUAACAGCUGCUUUGCACCUCCAAUCCAAAGCCCUGUUUCCUUGAAAGUUGGACGCUGGAAUAAGCACCUUGGCUGGCACCCUCACUGAGUGGAGAGUGCUCUUCCUCACUGCAGCACGUGUUCUACUGUGAGUGUGUUCCUCUCCGUCUCUGUCUGAGGGCACAACCGUGAUCCAAUACAAUGGCCAUUGCCCAUCCAUGUGCUGAUAUUGACGAGCUUCAGAUGUGCAUUUCCUCGGUGUAAUUCUUCGUUUUACUUUGUACUUUAGAAUUUGUUUUAAAAUUCUUAUUUCAUGCCCUCCCCUCUCCCGA